UAAAUACUAAUACCAGAUCGAUAGUGCACAAGUACCGUGAGGGAAAGGUGAAAAGAACUGAGGUGAUCAGAGUGAAAUAGAACCUGAAACCAUUUGCUUACAAUCAUUCAGAGCCCUAUGUAGCAAUACAGGGUGAUGGACUGCCUUUUGCAUAAUGAGCCUGCGAGUUGUGGUGUCUGGCAAGGUUAAGCAAACGCGAAGCCGUAGCGAAAGCGAGUCUGAAUAGGGCGCUUAGUCAGAUGCUGCAGACCCGAAACGAAGUGAUCUAUCCAUGAGCAAGUUGAAGCUAGUGUAAGAACUAGUGGAGGACUGAACCCAUAGGCGUUGAAAAGCCCCGGGAUGACUUGUGGAUAGGGGUGAAAGGCCAAUCAAACUUCGUGAUAGCUGGUUCUCUCCGAAAUAUAUUUAGGUAUAGCGUUGUGUCGUAAUAUAAGGGGGUAGAG
rnacentral:rRNA from 1 species